GACGAACGCUGGCGGUGUGCCUAAUACAUGCAAGUCGAGCGAAGUUAUGAUGGAGCUUGCUCCAGAUUAGCUUAGCGGCGGACGGGUGAGUAACACGUGGGCAACCUGCCUGUAAGACUGGGAUAACUCACGGAAACGUGAGCUAAUACCGGAUACUUUGCUUCCUCGCAUGAGGGUGCAUGGAAAGACGGAGCAAUCUGUCACUUACAGAUGGGCCCGCGGCGCAUUAGCUAGUUGGUGGGGUAAUGGCCUACCAAGGCGACGAUGCGUAGCCGACAUGAGAGGGUGAUCGGCCACAUUGGGACUGAGACACGGCCCAGACUCCUACGGGAGGCAGCAGUAGGGAAUCUUCCGCAAUGGACGAAAGUCUGACGGAGCAACGCCGCGUGAGUGAUGAAGGCUUUCGGGUCGUAAAACUCUGUUGUUAGCGAAGAACAAGUACGAGAGUAACUGCUCGUACCUUGACGGUACCUAACCAGAAAGCCACGGCUAACUACGUGCCAGCAGCCGCCGUAACAC
rnacentral:rRNA from 1 species